GUGGGGAAUAUUGGGCAAUGGGCGAAAGCCUGACCCAGCAACGCCGCGUGAGGGAAGAAGGUUUUCGGAUUGUAAACCUCUGUCCUUGGUGACGAACACAAUGACGGUAGCCAAGGAGGAAGCCCCGGCUAACUACGUGCCAGCAGCCGCGGUAAUACGUAGGGGGCAAGCGUUGUCCGGAAUGACUGGGCGUAAAGGGCGUGUAGGCGGCCGAUUAAGUCUGGAGUGAAAGUCCUGCUUUCAAGGUGGGAAUUGCUUUGGAGACUGGUUGGCUUGAGUGCGGAAGAGGCAAGUGGAAUUCCCAGUGUAGCGGUGAAAUGCGUAGAGAUUGGGAGGAACACCAGUGGCGAAGGCGACUUGCUGGGCCGUAACUGACGCUGAGGCGCGAAAGCGUGGGGAGCGAACAGGAUUAGAAACCCCAGUAGUCC
rnacentral:rRNA from 1 species